AGUGAACGCUGGCGGUAUGCCUAACACAUGCAAGUCGAACGGCAGCACAGUAAGAGCUUGCUCUUACGGGUGGCGAGUGGCGGACGGGUGAGGAAUACAUCGGAAUCUACUUUUUCGUGGGGGAUAACGUAGGGAAAGUUACGCUAAUACCGCAUACGUCCUACGGGUUAAAGCAGUGGAUCUUCGGACCUUUCGUGAGUGAAAGAGCCGAUGUCGCAUUAGCUAGUUGGCGGGGUAAAGGCCCACCAAGGCGACGAUCCGUAGCUGGUCUGAGAGGAUGAUCAGCCACACUGGAACUGAGACACGGUCCAGACUCCUACGGGAGGCAGCAGUGGGGAAUAUUGGGCAAUGGGCGCAAGCCUGACCCAGCCAUGCCGCGUGGGUGAAGAAGGCCUUCGGGUUGUAAAGCCCUUUUGUUGGGAAAGAAAAGCCGCAGGUUAAUACACCGCUGUUCUGACGGUACCCAAAGAAUAAGCACCGGCUAACUUCGUG
rnacentral:rRNA from 1 species